rnacentral:rRNA from 1 species
AUUGAACGCUUGCGGCAUGCUUUACACAUGCAAGUCGAACGGUAACAGGCCGCAAGGUGCUGACGAGUGGCGAACGGGUGAGUAAUGCAUCGGAACGUGCCCAGUCGUGGGGGAUAACUGCUCGAAAGAGCAGCUAAUACCGCAUACGAUCUAUGGAUGAAAGCGGGGGACCGUAAGGCCUCGCGCGAUUGGAGCGGCCGAUGUCAGAUUAGGUAGUGGGUGGGGUAAAGGCUCACCAAGCCAACGAUCUGUAGCUGGUAUGAGAGGACGACCGGUCAAACUGGGUCUGAGACACGACGCAGAUGCGUACGGGUGGCAGCAGUGGGGAAUUUUGGACUAUGGGGGCAACGCUGAUCGAUAACUGCAGCGUACAGGGAGAAGGCCUUCGGGUUGUAAACUGCUUUUGUACGGAACGAAACGGUCUGGGUUAAUCCCCUGGGCUAAUGACGGUACCGUAAGAAUAAGCACCGGCUAACUACGUGCCAGCCGCCGCCGUAAGAC